CUGCGCCAUGCCUGCUCCCCCAAGAAAAAGAAGAAUUUCUGAAAGAAACUUUAAGUCCAGAUUGAAUCAAGUUCUAAAUCCAGUGGGAUUCUGUCUUGGCGCAUUAUUGGCCGUAAAGAAGCAAGGUGAAAACGAUGAGUGCUUUAGCUGAGUAUCGAUCAACGAUCAGAUUCCCAGAAAUCCAACACUUUCAUUACAAUGAUCUUGACAAGUGACUUCGACGUGUCACGCCACCUAACUCAACAUAUAGGGAACUAAAAAAGGGGGAAAAGUUUUCAAAAAAAAAGGUUUCAAAAACUUAUAGCUUUGAAAUUUCAAGCUUUCUAUCGUUUCGUUAACAGUUUACAACAAGGCCUGUAAGAUAAUAAUUGCUUCGUAUUGAAUAUUGAGUGAAGAUGUAGCAUCCUAUUAACUUUGUCCAUCGAUUUACAAC